CUCAUUAUAUAAGUUAUCGUUUAUUUGAUAGUACCUUACUACUUGGAUAACCGUGGUAAUUCUAGAGCUAAUACAUGCUAAAAAUCCCGACUUCGGAAGGGAUGUAUUUAUUAGAUUAAAAACCAAUGCCCUCUGGGCUCUCUGGUGAUUCAUGAUAACUUCUCGAAUCGCAUGGCCUUGCGCCGGCGAUGGUUCAUUCAAAUUUCUUCCCUAUCAACUUUCGAUGUUUGGGUAGUGGCCAAACAUGGUUGCAACGGGUAACGGAGGGUUAGGGCUCGACCCCGGAGAAGGAGCCUGAGAAACGGCUACUACAUCCAAGGAAGGCAGCAGGCGCGCAAAUUACCCAAUCCCGAUUCGGGGAGGUAGUGACAAUAAAUACUGAUACAGGGCUCUUUUGGGUCUUGUAAUUGGAAUGAGUACAAUUUAAAUCCCUUAACGAGGAACAAUUGGAGGGCAAGUCUGGUGCCAGCAGCCGCGGUAAUUCCAGCUCCAAUAGCGUAUAUUAAAGUUGUUGUGGUUAAAAAGCUCGUAGUUGAACCUUGGGCCUGGUUGGCCGGUCCGCCUCACCGCGUGUACUGGUCCGGCCGGGCCUUUCCCUCUGUGGAACCCCAUGCCCUUCACUGGGUGUGGCGGGGAAACAGGACUUUUACUUUGAAAAAAUUAGAGUGCUCCAGGCAGGCCUAUGCUCGAAUACAUUAGCAUGGAAUAAUAAAAUAGGACGUGCGGUUCUAUUUUGUUGGUUUCUAGGACCGCCGUAAUGAUUAAUAGGGACAGUCGGGGGCAUCAGUAUUCAAUUGUCAGAGGUGAAAUUCUUGGAUUUAUUGAAGACUAACUACUGCGAAAGCAUUUGCCAAGGAUGUUUUCAUUAAUCAGGAACGAAAGUUAGGGGAUCGAAGACGAUCAGAUACCGUCGUAGUCUUAACCAUAAACUAUGCCGACUAGGGAUCGGACGAUGUUAUUUUUUGACUCGUUCGGCACC
rnacentral:rRNA from 1 species